CAGAGAGUAGUUUUAAUCUUGGUAGAAUGCCAGCUUUGGGUGCUGGUGGUGGCGGAUCGACGCCGCCCUCUCUGA
rnacentral:tRNA from 1 species